UCUAACGAGAGUUUGAUCCUGGCUCAGAAUCAACGCUGGCGGCGUGCCUCAGACAUGCAAGUCGAACGCGAAAGUCUCCUUCGGGGGACAAGUAGAGUGGCGCACGGGUGAGUAACACGUAGGUAAUCUACCUUCGGAUGGGGAAUAACAACCGGAAACGGUUGCUAAUACCGCAUAAUGCAGCGGCACCUAAUGGUGACAGUUGUUAAAGCGGGGGAUCGAAAGACCUCGCGUCUGAAGAGGAGCCUGCGGCGGAUUAGCUUGUUGGUAAGGUAACGGCUUACCAAGGCGACGAUCCGUAGCCGGCCUGAGAGGGCGGUCGGCCACACUGACACUGACAUACGGGUCAGACUCCUACGGGAGGCAGCAGUCGGGAAUUUUGGGCAAUGGGCGAAAGCCUGACCCAGCAACGCCGCGUGAAGGAUGAAAUCCCUCGGGAUGUAAACUUCGCAAGAACGGGAAGAAUAAGCCUGCGUAAAUAUCGCAGGUGAUGACGGUACCGUUUGUAAGCUCCGGCUAACUCCGUGCCAGCAGCCGCGGUAAUACGGGGGGAGCAAGCG
rnacentral:rRNA from 1 species